rnacentral:tRNA from 1 species
ACAUUGGUGGUUUAGUGGUAGAAUACUCGCCAGUCACGCGGGCAGCCCGGGUUCGAUUCCCGGCCGAUGCA